rnacentral:rRNA from 1 species
CUGAACCAGCCAAGUAGCGUGAAGGAUGACUGCCCUAUGGGUUGUAAACUUCUUUUAUAACGGAAUAAAGUCGGGUAUGGAUACCCGUUUGCAUGUACUUUAUGAAUAAGGAUCGGCUAACUCCGUGCCAGUAGCCGCGGUAAUACGGAGGAUCCGAGCGUUAUCCGGAUUUAUUGGGUUUAAAGGGAGCGUAGAUGGAUGUUUAAGUCAGUUGUGAAAGUUUGCGG